rnacentral:lncRNA from 1 species
GUCGCGUGUUGUGUGCUUUUGUUAAGUGCUUCUACCCUUUGCAUUUCCAUCACUAGUUUUGUCAGGCGACUGUCGGUCUACUUUUUAAGGAUGGUGCCCUGACGGAUGAAGUGUUCACGAAUUACGCUUUUGUGGGCCUCCCAUCUAAUGGUCGGCGAGGUUUGUUCGGCAGUGUUCGUCUCAAAGUAAUCUUUGAGCGCUUCCUUGAUAUCGGUUGUCAAGUCAGGUCUAGUUAGGAGAUAUUCAUUUAGUCUCCAUUUGUUGAACCGGGGUUUGUAUAAGGGAGACGAGAGUAUCAGGAGUACCGGUCUGACCAUGUCGCUACCCCUGCUCUGCAUCGCGUGUUAUUGGUAGAGGAUAGUGUGAGGUAAAGAGCUAGUCCAGUCUAGUAUAUGUGUUGUGUGAGUGUGAGAAGAAGGUGUAGUCCUUCUCAUCUGGGUGGUAGGCCCUUUCAGCAGUCUAUCAGUUUGUGAUGAGUCAGAAGGGUUUUGAUUGAGUUCAAGUCUUGUGUCGGGCCCCACGAGUAUCCGGAGGAGGUGUCCCACCGCAGAUUGAGUGCUACGUUAAGGUCUCCACCCACAAUGAGGAUUCCCUCCAUGAAGGGCUGUAGUUUCUUAAGUGUGUGUGCCAGGAAUCUGUAUUGUCGGUUGUUUGGGGCGUAGAUGUUUGCGAAUGUAUAGACCUGUCCUGCGAUUGUGCCUUUGAGGAAAAGUAAUCUACCCUCCCUGUCCGUCAUCUGUCCUGUUUCUACAAAAGGUAUCUUUUUGUUAACUAGGAUGGCCGUGCCUCUUGACCUCCCUGCAUGGUAGUCGCUGUAAUAUCCCGUUGGGUAGUGAUGGUUAGUCAUUUUGGGGGUCGGUGGCCCUGGCCUCCCUCCUGGAGCGCCUUCCUCUUCUUUUCCCCCUCCCGCUCACUCUCCAUGUGUGAGUGAGUCCCCCCAGUGGGGCCCGCCCCCUGCUCAGCUGGGUCAUCACAGAGCAGCCAAGGCCCCAGCGGCGGGGCCCAGUCCUAAGUAAGUGCCGGUGCAUUCCCCCCCCAUCUACCCAUUGGUAUCGGUUGCGGUGUGUGUGCCAAGGGUGGGGUCGGUGCUACCUGGGAUCGGUCCCUAUUUGGCAGGUUUUUACACUGAGUUUAGGCAUGUACUAUCAGGACCCCCUCCUCACUGUGUCGCUAACCUGUUAAGUUUUGCUGUGGUUGUCCAUCCUUUUUUAUAAGUAUAUUGAUUUACUAUCAUACUCGGGGGAGUGCAGCAGCCCCUUUAGUAAAAGCUUGUUCCUCUAUAGUAUCGAUACACUUAGGUGCCUCAUAGUAGUGUCUAGCUGGGCAGUUGGCUACCCCUGCUGUCUGCCUGUGCUAUCUUCCCCUUUCGUUAUUUAUUGUGAGUCUGCUUGCGUGCCCCUUUUGUGUGUGUCCCCAGUUCCUCCCCCUCUGAUUAUAGUAGCCCGGUGGACCCCCUUCCGUUCUCGCCCUCCCCCCCUUCUCUUAGCCUGUUGUGGUGUACGUUAGCGGUCCUGAUCCCCAAAACGUCCAUAAGGGGGCUGGUACCCCUAUUGGAGAGAGAGUCACAGUUGUCACGGUUGUUGGUACUUGCGGUUAUGUGCUGCAGCUGCUGACAUUAGUCCUUUAUGCCACCGUCCCCGAGGGCCGGGUGGCUUGUUGUCGGGUCCCUCUGCUUCUGUGCUGCUGUGGCGGGAGCCCCUGGGUCACGUAGGUGCCAUGUAGAAGGUAAGGGGGUCCGGCCAUGUCAUGUUGAUGGGUAGAAGUUGUAGUUCCGUUACGAGAUCGCUCAAGUCCUCCGGGUGUUGGACUGUGAAAGGCCCCUUUGUUGUGAUGGCCUGUAGCCCGGUCGGAAAGGUCCACCGAUACCUGAUUUUGUUGGUUUGGAGGAUUCUCGUGAGGGGCCUCAUCACCCGUCAGUAUGCCAGGGUAGCUGGUGAGAGAUUAGGAUACAGUUGUAUUUCCACUCCAUUCAGCGUCACCCUUUCUGUGCCUCGCGCUUUCUGAAGGAUCUCUUCCUUUAGUCGGAAACUGGCCAGGCAACAAAUAGUGUCCCUUGGGGGAGCCUCUGGUGGACCCCUUGGUCUCAGUGCACGGUGUGCUCUGAUAAACUCGACGUCGGUGGUUGUUGGGCGGCCAGGAUCUUGUUGAACCUUUCGGCGUGUCAGUUGGCUUGGUUAUAUGCGAUGCCCGGUGGGUUUUGCCCAUAUUUGCCUGGUUUUCAGGUGCCAUGAUGAGGAUUUUAGCUGAGCCUGUUGGGGAGCUCCAGGUUUACGUCGCCAUCUUCCUCGGCCUCCAAGCCACGCCCCCUGUUGUGUGGAUUUAAACCUGAUUUUCCUAGAAAUUAUUCUCUACCUCUCAAUAAUGAUGUAUCAUGUUGGAUUUGGAACCUUAAAUACGUUUUGGGGUUUGUUUGUUUUUAACAAGUAAUGUGAUUGUGAUCUCUUUGGCACCAAAUCUGAAACAGUGGACCUCUUCAGUAAAAGCACAUAAAAUAUGGUCUAAUGAUAAGGCACUUGUUGGUAAGAUACAAAUGUUGAGAUAUUUUUUUUUCUGUUAGAUAAACUGUUUACAUGAUUUACAUGACAAAACUGUUUACAUGUCAACAGGUUGUUUUGUUACAGAGUAAACUCUGAUGUUUAAAAAUAAAUUUUUUAGUGUUCAUGAGGUGAGUGAAUCAGAGCAGCAGGUUCCUCCUCAAGAUUUAUCUCUUUUCCUAUCUCCUAGGUCUCGCUAUUUAGUAGGAACAGUCUCCAUUUUGGGCCCAAAUCUCUCUGUCCCUCCUUUCCAUCCUUAUGCCCCUCUUUACUAUGAGGCUCAAGAAGAAUGUCAUAUUAAUAUAAGGGGGGGUUUAAGAGUGCUCUGAUUGGUUGGCUACUAAGCCAACCAAUCAGAGCUCUCUGGCAGGCAAGUCUCAAGAGAAGUGUAGCAUGGGAAAUUUUCCUAUAUGAUGCAGUACCUGACAUAGCGUGGGAAAACCUAUGGAAAGUUUAUCCCCGAUAUGAGAGCUCAGUCUGCUUCAAGCCCUUGCGGGGAGAAGAUUAGUGAUUUUUAUUGCAUCAUGGUUUUGGAUUUGUGGGGGGGGGGGUAGCUUCUCCACCAUGAAUAUUAUUACUUGGGACUCCAACCACAUCCUUAAAAAUAGCCUUCAAUUGUGGCCAGCAAUCUGUCAUAUCUCCUGUUAUUUCACAGCUUGAUAGUUUGAAAUAUUUUGCUCAUGUGCCCCCACCUGCUGCAUGAAGGUGGGAGAAUAGGGAGGUUUAAAAACUCCAUUAUAGUAAUAGUCUUUUGCAGUAAUAGUACUUAAAAUUAUUAUUCACUUACAUAAAAGCAAGUAAAUUAAAAUUUACGAAAGUGCAUCCUGCUGGAUGCAUUUGGUCCCUAUUUAGGUUAAAAUUGGUGCCUUGUGAAUAGUGAGAAUCCUAUACUUUGCAUAGAAUUCGGAUGCAGAAGCACCAAUUUAUCUGAAUGCAUGCAGAUGAUUGCUGCAGAUUCACUCGGUCCAACUGAAUUCCGACAUUAUUUUGCUUUAAUAAAUAUAAGAAUUGCCAUUGCGCUUGGAAUUCAGUGAUUUUCAACAAAAUUUGUCCAUACAGACAAAAUACGGAGUUUAGUGAGUAACCUCGUCAGGGAUAUUUACUAAAGUGAGAAUUCAAAAGUCUAGGUAAAAUAGCCAAACUGUCAUCUAUGUAUCCAGUUUGGCUACUUUGACCUUAAAUUUUAAAUUCACUUUGAUUUCAUGUUGAAUUCUCACUUUGUGAAUAACCUUGACUAUCUUGUCCGAAGCAGACCAUGAAUUGAAUAUAUCAAUUUAUUUCACAUGCUUCACUUGUAACAAGGCUUCAAUGAUCUUUUAAGAACCGAUAAUAUUCCAUAUGCCCAAGCUGGCAUGGAAUAUCUUACUUAUUUCCUAUGUUUAUGUUUAAAGAUGGCCUUAAAUAGAUAGGAUGUUAGAAUAUGUCAUGUAAAGCCUAGCCCUAGAUGAUACUAUUGAAAUUGCACGAUUUGUUUGACUAUAAAGUCAAAUUAAUCUUUAGGUUGUCUCACUAUUCUUGGGGGAGUGGGGAAAUGUUAACAUAGUCUGUGUAGAUUAAUCACUUUACGAUCAAAAUAUAUGAACAAGUAGAAUCUCUUUCCUUAUCUGAUCCCAGUUCAGCCUGAUUAUACGGCCUCUAUUUGAGUCAUUUAAUGGGAUGGUUUCUACGGCCAGUGUCAGAGACCUGAGAGAUACCUCCCUUGAAUGGCUGGACCAACACUGCUCCUUACCUGCCCUGAGACCAAGUAUGUAUGGAGAAUAAUACCUGUAUAUUAUUGAAAGGAUGCAAAAUUAUACUUGAAAUCACACACUGAAGGGUUUUGCUUAUUAGUCAAGUAUUUGAAGUGCUGUGCUCUACAUCAGAUGGGUGUCAUUGGACUGAGAAAUACUAAGAAAUGUAGUUGUACUAUUUGAAUGGAUAAAUGGAUGGGUGGAUGGAUGUUUUCAAGAAUGGAUAGAUGGAACGGAAGAAAAGGUUGGUUGAUGGAUGGAUGGACAGAUAUAUAACAUUGGUUUUCUCUUCCUCUUCAGCUGUGUCAAGUUCACUGUGUCAUCUUAGCACAUCAACGUCCAUUCUUACUGACCCGACCAUUAUGCCUGAUCAAGCUAUGCAAGCAGUGACCAGAGGAGACAAUGGGGACAGCUUCUUCUAGCUAAGCCAAAGACGCUUACCUCUGGGACUACUGAACAUCUUCAACAAGUGGACUUCUAAUAUGUCUGUAAUGCAGAUAUCAAAACAGUUGCGUGCCUAUAUUUAACUGCGAACACCAAAGAUUAAAUCGGAGAUAACUAUUCAAUAUGUUUGUGAAUAUGUCUGUGGAUUUUAUUAUAAAUUUAUGUUUUAUUGCAACAUCAGAGCCUUAAAUGUGUUCAUUUUAUUAAAACAUCAAUUUGAUUUUAGAUGCUUUGUGGUGUUUUGCAUUGUCUUUUGAAUUCCUCUCUAUAGUACCUAUUCUCUGCAAUGUAUUAAACCUUUUUAUAAUUGUUUAGUUUUAUUUGAACAAGAUAUGAUGCUUGUGGACAUACUGGAGAGAUGUACUUUUGAAAACUGUGGCGGGGGCGAUGUGUUGGGUGGGAUUUGGCUGGAGAUAAAUUGGUGGAAUAAGG